CAACAGGAUUCCGUAGUGACCUGCGGAGGAUCAUUACAGUAUUCUUUUUGCCAGCGCUUAAUUGCGCGGCGAAAAAACCUUACACACAGUGUUUUUUGUUAUUACAAGAACUUUUGCUUUGGUCUGGACUAGAAAUAGUUUGGGCCAGAGGUUUACUGAACUAAACUUCAAUAUUUAUAUUGAAUUGUUAUUUAUUUAAUUGUCAAUUUGUUGAUUAAAUUCAAAAAAUCUUCAAAACUUUCAACAACGGAUCUCUUGGUUCUCGCAUCGAUGAAGAACACA
rnacentral:misc_RNA from 1 species